rnacentral:misc_RNA from 1 species
GAUGAAGAACGUAGCGAAAUGCGAUAAGUAAUGUGAAUUGCAGAAUUCAGUGAAUCAUCGAAUCUUUGAACGCACAUUGCGCCCGCCAGUAUUCUGGCGGGCAUGCCUGUUCGAGCGUCAUUUCAACCAUCAAGCCCCCGGCUUGUGUUGGGGACCUGCGGCUGCCGCAGGCCCUGAAAAGCAGUGGCGGGCUCGCUGUCACACCGAGCGUAGUAGCAUACAUCUCGCUCUGGGCGUGCUGCGGGUUCCGGCCGUUAAACCACCUCAUAACCCAAGGUUGACCUCGGAUCAGGUAGGAAGACCCGCUGAACUUAAGCAUAUCAAUAAGCGGAGGA